CAAUAGCGUAUAUUAAAGUUGUUGCGGUUAAAAGCUCGUAGUUGGAUUUCUGUCAGCGAGUGGCGCUCCGCCCCUGUGGUGAGUAGUCGUCAUGCCGCCGGCAUCUUUCUGGGGAGCGUGUCUGCACUUCAUUGUGUGGUGCGCAAGCCAGAACUUUUACUUUGAGGAAAUGAGAGUGUUUCAAGCAGGCAAUCGCCGUGAAUACGUUAGCAUGGAAUAAUAGCAUCGGACCUCGUCCCAAAGCUGUUGGUUCCUUGGGAUGAGGUAAAGGUGAAUAGGGAUUGUUGGGGCAUUCGUAUUACACUGUCAGAGGUGAAAUUCUUGGAUUUGUGUAAGACGGACUACUGCGAAAGCAUCUGCCAAAGAUGUUCUCAUUGAUCAAGAACGAAAGUUGGGGAUCGAAGAUGAUCAGAUACC
rnacentral:rRNA from 1 species